rnacentral:lncRNA from 1 species
UGAUUUGCUGCACAUGAACUGAACUUCAUCUUUUGUAAUUGUUGUUCCUCUUACGUUCUUGAACAGCACAUUGCUUAUCGCAACUUUUGAAUCCUACAAAACACACAAAAAGUUUAUUUUCGUAAGCUGAUCAAGAGAAGUUUUGGUUUGAGAUUUUCUCGGGUAUAUAUACUUACUCCGCCUCUUGAGCCGUAGUUUUGGUCAAUGAUGAUUGGGUUCUUGACGUUUGUCAUCAUAAUAUCUUCAUAGGUGAUGUCCACAGCCGUGCUUGGAGACGAACCACCCCAACUCUUGAUUCUAAGACCAUUGUCGGUAUCUUUCAUGGUGCAAUUCCUAAAGUGAAUGCCGGCAACAUUCUCCUCGUUCGGGUACUUACCAAGACUACCGACACUUAGGCCGUGUCCUGGGCCACAAGUCACGCGUUCGACGGUUACAUUGGUGGAACCACGACCGACUGAGAUACAAUCGUCUCCUGUAGCUAUUAAACUGUCAGCGAUAUGAACGUUGACCGCAUUGCUCAAAUGGAUGCCAUCGGUGUUGGGACUUUCAGCAGGGGCAAUAAUCUUAAUGUUUUGGACGUUGACAUUUGUAGUUUUUACCAAGAACAUGUGGAAGCAAGCUUUCAGGCAACAGAUAGCUGAUGUUUUAAUUUUAUUUUGUUCCUUUGAUCCGAGCUUUAAUGUUUCUGAAUUUUAGAGACUGCAUGCAGGCCAGUGUAAGUAUGAUCAGUACAAAAAUAUUAGUUAAUGAUAUUAUUUUUAACUUAAAUCUUACCGUUGGAGGAAGAUUGCAGUUCAACUUUUUACCACAGCCAUCUGCUUUCCAAACGGCUUCACCUUUGCCCAAAAAAAAUUAGGAAUUAUAAUCAUAGAAAAAAUUAUCAAAAAGUCAUAUAUUAUUAUUGUUGAUAAACUUACAAACUAACUCACAAACAAAACAAAAAAAUGUUUGUGGAAACUUUUGAUUUGUUUUUCAACAUCAAGUUAUGUAUACCAAAAAAGCUUAUUUGGGACACAGAGGGAAGCUAAGUUUUCCACCGAAGAUAACAUUGGCGUUGGUACAAAGAGCUCCGACCAAACCUCCUGACGACGAGGGGUGUCCUCCUUUGUCACCUACGAAGUUCAAUUCCACGUCAACGACGCUGACUCCUUUGCACGGUACUGAUUUGCUGCACAUGAACUGAACUUCAUCUUUUGUAAUUGUUGUUCCUCUUACGUUCUUGAACAGCACAUUGCUUAUCGCAACUUUUGAAUCCUACAAAACACACAAAAGUUAUAUUUUCUUAAGCUGAUCAAGAGAAGUUUUGGUUUGAGAUUUUCUCGGGUAUAUAUACUUACUCCGCCUCUUGAGCCGUAGUAUUCACCAUUAGCUACGCAAGAACCUAACACCAAGGCCAUUAAGAUUAAUGAACCUACAUUAGUAUUAUUUGCCUUGGCAACCAAACUUCUUGCGCUAGCCAUGGUGAUAAUAUCUUUUUAUUUUUUGCUUUUUUGUUCUUUUAAAAAUGUGUUGACAAAUUUAAAAGUGAUUUGAU